CGUAGGGUGCGAGCGUUAAUCGGAAUUACUGGGCGUAAAGCGUGCGCAGGCGGUUUUGUAAGACAGAUGUGAAAUCCCCGGGCUCAACCUGGGACCUGCAUUUGUGACUGCAAGGCUAGAGUACGGUAGAGGGGGAUGGAAUUCCGCAUGUAGCAGUGAAAUGCGUAGAUAUGCGGAGGAACACCGAUGGCGAAGGCAAUCCCCUGGACCUGUACUGACGCUCAUGCACGAAAGCGUGGGGAGCAAACAGGGUUAGAUACCCUGGUAGUCCACGCCCUAAACGAUGUCAACUGGUUGUUGGGUCUUUACUGACUCAGUAACGAAGCUAACGCGUGAAGUUGACCGCCUGGGGAGUACGGCCGCAAGGUUG
rnacentral:rRNA from 1 species